CCCUCCCUACCCCCCCCAACCCGCCCCAACUUCCGCAGCCAAGCGGCUGUUUCCGGCACGCGGACGAGCCGGAGCGCGCUCCUGUGUGCGCGCGUCUGAAGUUCCCCUUCCUUCUACCCUCCUUUUUACCCCGCCCCUCUCGGCUUCCUCGUUCUUAGACUGGUCUACGCACACAUGCCACCGCCCUCGCGACAGAGAAACGCAGAGACUUGUUGCGUUCCACGUCGAGCUCGUCUGACGCCGCGGGAUGACGUCACUCCUCGAGGGCGCGCUAUCUGGAGCUGAGUGUGUGUGGGGGGGGUGGUCCUCGGGUUCAGCUGAGGACAAGAGCGAAGAAAAAAAAAAAAAAAGCGAUCACUGCAGUGUGGGGCGAGGGAGCUGGGAGGAGGGGCGGAAGGGCGGGGUGGCGCAGGAGCGCCGCGGGCUGCCACUCCAGCCCCCGCGGGAGCCGAGCAGCGGCCGCCGAAGAGCCCCUCGGACAUGCGCCGAAGGCGGUCAUUCCCAGCGCUGAGCCGGCGGAGGGAGGGCCCGAGAGCCGGGUGGCCAGGCUUGUGCGGAGUUAGGAGAUCGGGGCGGGGGAAGGGAGUGUGACACCCGUGUGAGUUCAUCAAAAAGGGACUUUGGAGAAGAAGAAAAAAUGGCUGUUGGACUUUAUUAUGAAGGGACCAGACAAGAUAAAAUCCAUUCAAUAAAGGAGUAAGCAUGAAGGCAGAGCUGACCAGGCUGAGGAUUGGGAAGAGCUUGCCCUCACUCCUCGCCAGUCUAUAGGACAAAACUCAAUACUCAUUGAAAAUUAUCUUUUCACUAGAAAUGACAGAACAAAAAUGAUUAAUGAAAUUGAGAACCAAGAUAAUUAAGGAGAUAAUAAGAAAGCAUCUAAAUUGGAGAGAACUGGCAGAUAUGAAACUUUAUCUACUGUGAGUGAUAAUUUAAAAUUAAUGGACAAAAAGAGAGCUACCACAGAAUUGGAGAAGGGCAAAUGUUUGAAUUUUCAAAAAUGGGAAGUCAUGGAAUCUGCAAAUCAGAAGCCAUUAAAUUUGACUUCAAUUCCUGGGAAAAUUCAAGAAUAGAUUAUUAAUUAAAGAGAAGGUGGGUACACGUCUAGAAAGGGAAGUAGGGAUUACAAAGAGCUACCUUCAUCAAGAACAGAUCAUGCCAGAUGUAUCUCAUUGUCAUUUUUAACAAGGCUACCAAACUGUUAAGGGGAAUACUAUGGAUAAUAUGGUUUAGUUGGAAUUUAGGAAAAAAAUUUUUGAAAUAUCCUAUAUUGUCCUUGUGGAGAAGACAGAAAUAUGAUUUAGACAAUAAUACAAUCAUAUGGAAUCAGUCCUGGAUGACUGGCUGGACUCAAAGAGUAUUUUUUAAAAUAUCUCUAUUUAUCUAGCUAUUCAUUUAUUCAUGAAAGCAUUUUUCCUUCUAUUGCCCUUCCCUUUAAUUGAAUAACCCCCCCUCCAAAAAAAAAACCCAACCCUCAAAAGAAACUCAAAUAGUCCAACAAAGUAAAUUCCCACAUUGGCCAUAUCAAAAAAAAAAAACAAAAAAAACCAACCCAAAACUAUCUCAUUCAAGAUUUUUGAAUCUAUCACAUCUCUGGCAGGAAGUAGGUGUAAUUAACCUUUGGUUCUCCAAACUUGUGGUUUAUUACUGCAUUAAUUCUGAGUUCUUAACUCCUUUAAAGUUGCUUUUCUCUAUAAUGUCAUUGUCAUUAUAUAAACUGUACUUUUAUUUAAGUUCUCUUUGCUCUGAAUCUGUUCAGAGGUCCUCCCAAUUUCCUUUGAAAUUUUUCAUUUUGUUGUUUCUUUGAGUACAAUAAUAUUCCAUUAUGUUCAUAUAAUAGUUUGUUUACCCAUCCCCUACAAAGUAGUUACCUUCUUAGUUUCCAUUUUUU